GUGAAGCCCAGAGCUCAGACCCAUCGUACCAGCUGAUCCAGUCAGACUGAAGGGCUGGGACACUCUCUGGUUUCUCCCUCUGGCCGGACUGUCAUCGCCACAAAGGAGCCCCAGAGUCCCGCUAUGCUGUUCCGGCUGGCCUUGAACUCGCUAUGUAGCCCAGGCUGGUCUCGAACUCGCGGGGAUCGUCCGGCCUCAGCCUCGAGUCUGGGAUGACAGACGUGGACCCCCACGCCCGGCAGAAGACAUUCUAAUCACAUCAGAAGUCUCGAGCAUAUUUCACAGUUCUCUUGCUUGCUAACUACCUGCGCGAUCCUUUACGUUCGUUUCAGCGAGACCCUAAAUUGCUGGGCCCUCUCAAAGUCUGGUUUUCGCUGACGAUCCGUAGCUUCUCGAAUCUGAGUUCCGCCGGGGAACUGGAACUCACCGGGCUCAAGCGGGCCCUCUAGGGAUUUAC
rnacentral:lncRNA from 1 species